UACGAGGGGGCGAGCGUUGUUCGGAAUUAUUGGGCGUAAAGGGUGCGUAGGCGGUUUGGUAAGUCUGAUGUGAAAUCUAUGGGCUCAACUCAUAGUCUGCAUCGGAAACUGCCGGGCUUGAGUGUGGGAGAGGUGAGUGGAAUUCCUGGUGUAGCGGUGAAAUGCGUAGAUAUCAGGAGGAAUACCGGUGGCGAAGGCGGCAUCCUGGACCGACAUUGACGCUGAACGGCGAAAGCUAGGGGAGCAAACGGG
rnacentral:rRNA from 1 species